GAGGGCGUAUCUCAACGGGCUUCUAACCCGUCGUUAAUCGAGUAAUUGGAGUAUGCGGGUUCGAAUCCUGCCGCCUUCG
rnacentral:tRNA from 1 species